rnacentral:rRNA from 2 species
AAGGUGUUUGUUUUGUUCAGUUACUGCUGCGGGGUCUUGAAAAGUAUGGGUAGCAAACAGGAUUAGAUAUCCUGGUAGUCCAUACCGUAAACGAUGAAUGUUAAGUGUGGGAGGGUUUCCGCCCUUCAGUGCUGCAGCUUACGCAUUAAGCAUUCCGCCUGGGGAGUACGGCCGCAAGGGUGAAACUCAAAGGUAUUGGCGUGGGCCCGCACAAGCGGUGGAGCAUGUGGUUUAAUUUGAAGCUACGCGAAGAACCUUACCAGGUCUUGACAUACUAUGCAAAUCUAAGAGAUUAGACGUUCCCUUCGGGGACAUGGAUACAGGUGGUGCAUGGUUGUCGUCAGCUCGUGUCGUGAGAUGUUGGGUUAAGUCCCGCAACGAGCGCAACCCUUAUUAUCAGUUGCCAGCAUUAAGUUGGGCACUCUGGUGAGACUGCCGGUGACAAACCGGAGGAAGGUGGGGAUGACGUCAAAUCAUCAUGCCCCUUAUGACCUGGGCUACACACGUGCUACAAUGGAUGGUACAACGAGUUGCGAACUCGCGAGAGUAAGCUAAUCUCUUAAAGCCAUUCUCAGUUCGGAUUGUAGGCUGCAACUCGCCUACAUGAAGUCGGAAUCGCUAGUAAUCGCGGAUCAGCAUGCCGCGGUGAAUACGUUCCCGGGCCUUGUACACACCGCCCGUCACACCAUGAGAGUUUGUAACACCCAAAGUCGGUGGGGUAACCUUUAGGAACCAGCCGC